UACGUAGGGUGCAAGCGUUGUCCGGAAUUAUUGGGCGUAAAGAGCUCGUAGGCGGUUUGUUGCGUCGGCUGUGAAAACCUGAGGCUCAACCUCAGGCCUGCAGUCGAUACGAGCAGACUAGAGUGUUGCAGGGGAGACUGGAAUUCCUGGUGUAGCGGUGAAAUGCGCAGAUAUCAGGAGGAACACCAGCGGCGAAGGCGGCGCUCUGGGCCGGAACUGACGCUGAGGAGCGAAAGCGUGGGUAGCAAACAGG
rnacentral:rRNA from 1 species